GUUCGUUAGUCACACUACGAAUUUUUCUUAAAAAAAAACCAGUGCCAUCCAUUGCGAAAUAGAAAACGUUCUUGGUUGAGCGUAAACCAUUUGGAGGGUUAUAAAUUAACGUCUUUCGACAGUACGAACGAAACGGAGAAGCUGGAUGUCCUCGUCAAUGAAGACAACAGUGAUAAUUAUACAAACGAUGUUAUACAAUAUCGCGCGGCGUCGCAAGACUCGCCUCGUAUCAGGAUUUUAUUAUAAUCUGCUUAAUGUUUAACGUCAAGUUAACGGGUCGCGAGCUGUGCGGUAAAUAAUAUCAGAACGUUGCAUAAAUUGGCGAUAUCUGCGAAGAGUCAGAAAAAGCGUGCGAUAGGUCGCGUCGCGAACAUGAUAGGGUGCUACGACUUUAAUCACAUCUAUGUUGUAUGAACGAAACAAUUCUAGAUCUAUAGCCGAAGAUAUUCACUUUAGAAAUGUCUUUAGAAAUGUGAAAAAGCUCGCAAAUUUUGGGACAAGUGGCAACAAAAGGAAGAUAUUCAGCAAAGGUCAAAAGAAAAAUGAAAGGGACAGGUGAGAAUAAAUAACUGUGUAUAAGAAAAUCACAUAAAUCACGUUGCGAAUAUAUGUGUCAAAAGACGUCACCGUUCAUGCAUACAUCUGUAAAUCACAUGGAAAUAAACACUAAGGUCGAUUUCCCUUUCCACGACAUACAAAGUGGUCUCCGGAGUGGCGGCUGCGCUUGUUAUUCGAAUGAUUAUGUAAAACUUAUGCGAAGCAGAGGUCGGUUGAAAGCGACGUAAAACGUCGAACGUAGAAAACGGACGAGCAGCGAAGACGGACGACGAGUUGUUACGAGUCGAGGCCGAUACACAGCAAACACAGCGCGAUAAAAUCGCGUCCCCCACAUUGAAUUUACAACGCUUGAAACUGACUUUCGGUCGCCCAAGAAAUUAAGGAAGAAAGGUCAAUGAAGAGGGGCGAGGUAUAUCGAAAUUACGCCACCCCAAUUAACAACGGAAUCAUAAGAGGCGCAUGACCUGCCCCUUUUUCGACCACAAUCAUCGCAAUGACGUUGCCAACAACCAAUGCGACCCUGCCAAGUGUCAUUACACCUUACUGCUAACCACGAUCGAGAUUGACCCACGGACGAUCAACGAAGUACAUUGCAUAUUGAUUCAGCCAGACUGAGAUAUAUAAUCGUCGUAUUCAAUGCAAAGUGUGCUGACGGCGCGUGUCACAGGCAGAUGUCACGGAGGUGAACACUACGAUACCCCAACACGAUGUGCGUCCGAACGCAAAGUUUUGAAAGAAGUGACACUAGAGUCGACACUCCACACCAGACGGCAAUACGCGCGCGACUACCGACGGAGACACUAGAUGCAAAGGCAGCCGGUCACGUGGAGGGGGUAGGGUGGGGAUAGCACUCGGCGCUCGACAAGCGGAUGGUAUAGACGUACGUCAAGCCUAUUCAUGCGAUGCCCAGUCAGACGUGGCUGUGCAGGAGUGGCAAAAGUGGUUUUACUACCAACCGAAAGCCUUGGAAGAAAUACUCAAGCUUAUGGAUGAAGUGCAUUGCCAAGGGAGGAGACUAUGAGUACCAUUAAACGGCAAAUUAAUACGGCGAAACGCACAAUUAUGCUAUAAGUGUACCACUGAAAAUCACAGUUCCUUCCCCCCCACCUUGCUUUGCGCCGUAUUUUUCUAUGUUCAUGUAACAUACUUACGUACAUACGCACACACAAAUAUUUUUAUACCGAAUUUCAUUUUCAUUAAAAAAAAGCUGAGAAAAUUGUUAUCGCUCGGAGCGGGAUCAAGCGUUACACGUCGCUCGUGCGUAGCCAUUGCCGAUUGCUAUAAACAAUUUUCCGUGCGAAUUAGGCGAUGGGCCGGGCUAGGACAAUUUUUAAUAAUUAAUUACUCGUUACCUAUUGCGAAAAUUGCAAAAUGGUACAGGACUUUUCUG